UUUAGAAGACUUUGUCUCAAGAAAAAGAAGUGGGAAAGGAUGGUUGAAGAGGCAGAGUGAGGGACACCGGCGCUCUGGCCUGGUUUUGUCACCUGAGGAGCUAAGAGAAAGACGCUAAGCUGGAAGGGAGAAGAGCCGCGGGCCGGAAGUGCUGGGCGAGCCGAUUGCUAGGACCGAGCAGAUACGCACAGUCGAGGUCCUGAGCUGCUGGAGUCUUCAGAGGGAAUCAGUACCAUCUGCUAGAAAAAGAGAAAGGGUUAGAAUGUAUGUAAAAAUCAAGACCGUUUGAUCCGCAACCCGCAUGAGCGCUGCAGCUGGGAGCAACUUGUAAAACUCGAUGGAUGGCCGGCUCACACUGCUGAAGACAGACACUGGAGAGAGAGCCGCAACGUGGAGGAGUUUAAGAAGAUGCCACUGAGGCCAUGGCCACCCUUCCUAUGAAAAUAUGAGAGGCCUGGAAUCCAGUGACCCCACCUGCUACAAGUCAUAUCUCCACCAACUAAAGGACCAUCUGUAAACCCAGGGCUGUGUGUCUUCAAACAAAGCUCUUACUAACCUGCUGGUCUGCUGUCCAUUGAGUCAAUGAAGCAAUUAGGAGAGCCUCUA